rnacentral:rRNA from 1 species
ACGCUGGCGGCAGGCCUAACACAUGCAAGUCGAGCGGUAGAGAGAAGCUUGCUUCUCUUGAGAGCGGCGGACGGGUGAGUAAUGCCUAGGAAUCUGCCUGGUAGUGGGGGAUAACGUUCGGAAACGGACGCUAAUACCGCAUACGUCCUACGGGAGAAAGCAGGGGACCUUCGGGCCUUGCGCUAUCAGAUGAGCCUAGGUCGGAUUAGCUAGUUGGCGGGGUAAUGGCUCACCAAGGCGACGAUCCGUAACUGGUCUGAGAGGAUGAUCAGUCACACUGGAACUGAGACACGGUCCAGACUCCUACGGGAGGCAGCAGUGGGGAAUAUUGGACAAUGGGCGAAAGCCUGAUCCAGCCAUGCCGCGUGUGUGAAGAAGGUCUUCGGAUUGUAAAGCACUUUAAGUUGGGAGGAAGGGCAGUUGCCUAAUACGUAACUGUUUUGACGUUACCGACAGAAUAAGCACCGGCUAACUCUGUGCCAGCAGCCGCGGUAAUACAGAGGGUGCAAGCGUUAAUCGGAAUUACUGGGCGUAAAGCGCGCGUAGGUGGUUUGUUAAGUUGGAUGUGAAAUCCCCGGGCUCAACCUGGGAACUGCAUUCAAAACUGACUGACUAGAGUAUGGUAGAGGGUGGUGGAAUUUCCUGUGUAGCGGUGAAAUGCGUAGAUAUAGGAAGGAACACCAGUGGCGAAGGCGACCACCUGGACUGAUACUGACACUGAGGUGCGAAAGCGUGGGGAGCAAAC